rnacentral:rRNA from 1 species
UGCGUAGGCGGCUUGUCAAGCCAGAGGUGAAAGGCAUUGGCUCAACCAAUGUAAGCCUUUGGAACUGACGAACUUGAGUACAGGAGAGGUAAGUGGAAUUCCUAGUGUAGAGGUGAAAUUCGUAGAUAUUAGGAGGAACACCAGUGGCGAAGGCGACUUACUGGACUGUAACUGACGCUGAGGCACGAAAGCGUGGGGAGCAAACA